rnacentral:rRNA from 1 species
AUUGAACGCUGGCGGCAGGCCUAACACAUGCAAGUCGAGCGAGCGGCGGACGGGUGAGUAUUAUGUGGGGACUGCGCCAGAGAGGGGGGUAACUCCUGGAAACGGUAUCUAAUACCGCAUAUUCUCGGAUAAUGCCUAGGGGGUUAGCUAGUAGGUGGGGUAAUGGCUCACCUAGGCGACGAUCCCUAGCUGGUCUUAGAGGAUGAUCAGACACACUGGGACUUAGACACGGCCCAGAAUCCUACGGAGGCAGCAGUGGGGAAUAGUGCACAAUGGGCGCAAGCCUGAUGCAGCCAUGCCGCGUGUAUGAAGAAGGCCUUAGGGUUGUAAAGUACUUUCAGCCGGGAGGCGUUACCGACAGAAGAAGCACCGGCUAACUCCGUGCCAGCCGCCGCGGUAAUAC